AGAUCUGUCGCUGAGACAAUCGCU
rnacentral:siRNA from 1 species